UACACGCAACCGAGAAACCAGUGUGGGAGCCCCUCUCAAUUUCAACCGGUGAUUUUCCCAGAGAACUGUGCGUUUAACCCACCCGAUCCAAAAAAUACGUUUGAAAUAUUUCAUUUCGUUCCGCAAACACUAAUACAUAAUCACAAAUUUAUGUGUUUCGCUUGUAGCGUGUAAAAGAUUGAACGUGUGUGCGUGCUGGCCAAGCUGACGGCGCCGACACUUUUCUGACAGGUCUGCCAUUUCAAAAUUAGCUGUUGCUGAGAUAAGAGUGGCCAGCGAAACGGAUCAACAGCCGUGCGUCAUCGAGACCUCCUCUGCCGUGACCAGAACUCCGAGCCCGUGCCGUGACCAGCUACGUCGAGACCGUGGGCUAAGGCAGACGUCUUGCCAGAAUCACCAGUGGCCAGCAAAACGGAUCAACAGCCGUGCGUCAUCGAGACCUCCUCUGCCGUGACCAGAACUCCGAGCCCGUGCCGUGACCAGCUACGUCGAGACCGUGGGCUAAGGCAGACGUCUUGCCAGCAAAAUCAAUCAUGGCUGACGAAGCUGCCGUAGAAUUUCUACGAAAAUAUAACCUAGAACGUCUCGCAGAAUGUUUUGCGAAGGUUGGAGCUAAUCGAGAUCAUUUUCGCUAUUUGCGGAACAACCUUGUGGAGCUGAUGCUGAUACUUCCGGUGCUGGAUGAUAGAGCAAAGUUUGUUGAGGCAUUCGAUUCUGAAGAGGCAUCCGCAUCAGAUGCGAUUGAGGCCCCAUCACCCAGUGCUCCGUUGACAGUACGCGCUAAUUUAGAAACGAUAUGCCAAAUGAAUGAUGAAGGCAAAAAGUUUUGGCGGCAGGCGCAAGUUAAGUUUGGGAAGCCCGAAAGGGAGAUGCUUGCUCCGAUCAUAACUGCAUAUUUUUACAAAAUCGCGAGCGGUUCGAUUAACCAACAAAUGUUUAAUGAAAUGUUCGAAAUCAUACGCAGUCAGUUCCCGUCUGAAACGAACAAGCACAUUUGGUACGUCGGUGGUAACCACCCACAAGGCUUCCUUUACGAAAGUUAUCGACGUUUACAAACUAAAGCAAAACAAACAGGGCUUUCCGAAAAGUUUGCUGAUUUUAGAAACAUUUAAAAAUGUUUAUAUGCCCAGAUUGCGCAAUUAGUUUUGGUACAAGACUCGAUUUUGUAGAUCACGUUCAAACUCAUUGCAAAAAUGUCUAUACUUGUUUUUGUUAUCAAGAUUUCAAUCAAAUUUCACGUUUUCGUAGACAUUUUCUUCGCACAUGCACUGUAGUAGGCAACAACAACGAAGUAGUUGAAGAAAACAUUGAAAACAUACCAGGUGAGCAAUUAGAAGAAGGAGAACAAAUUUACAAUAAUCAUAAUGAGGAUGGAGAAUUUAGUGACAGUGAUGAAGAAUAUGAAGAAUUAGAGCAAGAGGUUCAUAGUUUAGAUGAAAUAUGGAUGAAACUUUUGUUGAAGCUACUCAGUGAUAGUGUUCUUAGCAGAAAAAAAGGCUUAGAUUUUAUCAAAGAACUGCAAUCGUUUUCAUCGGAGCUUUUGUCAAAUAUCGUAGAGCAAACAAGAAAUUUUAUUCGUCCUGAAAAUAUAGAAGAUUUCAUCAAAAUCAUUGAUGGAUACAAAAAACAGUUCCAAGUUAGUACUGAAGAAAGCGUACAGAAAAUGCUUAAUUCUAACAAUUUAUACACAGAACCAAACAUUGAUAUCAUAAGUAAUGAAGUGCUCCCGAAGACAGUAGGCGGGCAGCGAGUAUUAGGUAGAAAACCAGAAAAUGUCGUUAAUAUGAAUCUGCAAUUCGCUCUAAAAUUGUUUUUUGAGCGUAAGAAUUUACUGGAGCUUACACUAAAAAACAUUGAUAAGUUACAAAAUGAUACAUCUGGAAAAAUUAGAAAUUACAUUCAGAGUAUUGCAUGGCUGGAAAAGAAAUCUCAACUUCCACUUAAUAGAAUAUAUUUACCAAUAUUUUUGUACAAUGAUGAUUUUGAGCCAGAUAACCCUUUAGGCGCUCAUAAGGGAAAAAAUGCUCAAUGCGCUUUCUAUUUGUCUUGCCCUGUCAUUCCCAAACGCUUUCGAGCCAAAUUGAGCAGUCUUAUUCCAGCAAUGUUCGUGAAAUCAAGUUUGAAAAAAGUAAAGCCAGAGAUUUUAUUUAAAACACUGAUACAAAAUUUAACGGAGUUACAAACCACCGGCAUCGAAAUUUCUACCGAUAGUCGAACUAUCAAAAUUUAUCCAGUUCUUUGUGGAUUUACUGGCGAUAAUCUUUCCUUAAAUUAUAUAGGUGGUUUUACCACUGGUUUUAAUUCGACAUAUUACUGCCGGUCAUGCAAAUCACACAAAGAUGAAAUGAAACAAAUGCUAGAAGAAAAUGAGAACACAUUGAGGAACGAUGAACAGUACUUAAGAGAUGUGGAAGAAAAUAACACAGAAACAACGGGAAUCGAUUUUAAAUGUCCAUUUAUCGAAAUACCACACUUCAAUGUUAUCAAUUCGAUGACUUUUGACCCAAUGCACGAUUUUGCAGAAGGGAUUUGCCCAUUUACCGUUGCAAUGGCGUUGCGUAAGAUUAUCCAAAAUCAUGAUAUUUUAAACUUAAAAGUUUUAAACCAGCGUAAAGAUUUGUUUAACUAUGGCAUGUAUAAAAAAAGUAACAUUCCUGAAAAAAUUACUAAAUAUCACUUGCAAAAGGAAUAUUUAAAAAUGUCAUCAAACGAAAUGUUUACAUUUUUAUAUUUUCUUCCUAUGAUGUUAGGCGAUUUAAUUGCAGAAAAUACUCCUGAAUGGGAUUAUCUUUUAUUACUCCGUCGGAUAGUAUUUUUUACAUUCAAACCUUCAUUUUGUUUGGAAGAUAUACAAAAAUUGAAAGAAAUGAUUGCUAAUCAUCACAGAAUGUACAUUGCAUUGUUUGAAAAACCGUUGAAACCGAAAAUGCAUUUUCUUACGCACUACCCCUCAGCUAUUUUAAAAUUUGGUCCGUUAGAAAAUACUGACUGUAGGCGCUUUGAAAGCAAGAAUCGAGAUGUUAAACAGUACGUAAGAAAUACCUUUAAUCGAAAAAACUUAAGUAAAUCUAUUGGGAUAAAGGAAACGUACAAAUCAGCUUAUCAUUCGUACCUUGUCUACCAAGAACAUGAAUUUAGAUUAUUUAGAGCAAGAUAUGUAACAGUUGAAUCAUUAGAAACGACAAAUGGCAUUGAAGUUGUUCCAGGAGAAAUUUUUCUUUUUUCAUUUAGUGGAAUUUUUGAUGAUAUUAAGUUUAAUCAAGAUUCAUGCUUUAAAGUGGGCGAAACUUUUGUAAAAGUUCGAUCACUUUUCGUUAAACACAAUUCUUGCUAUGCAAUUGUAAGAAAGCUUAAAGUUUUAGAAUUCAACAAUCAAAUGGAUUGUUAUUACAUAGAUGAAAAUGAUGAUGAAGACAGUGCAUUUUGCUUCAAUUUAUGUGAAAUCGACAAUUUUCCACAAACAAUUCAUCAUUUAAACAAUGACAAAUUGGGAUUAUUCGAUCCACAAUAUAUGUAUUAAAUUUAACAUUCAUAGAUUAUUUUUUAUUUAGAUAGGAUUUUAGAAAGUAAAUAAGGAAAACAAUGAAUAGAAAUAAGUUUAAGAAUAGAUCCCAAUCCAUAAAAAACCCUUUCCUAAGAAAUAUUGUAUCCUACUAACCCCGAGAAAACCGCGGGUAAUCGGUUUCCCAAAUUAAUUCAUUAGAAUAAGGAAUUGAAAAAUCAAAGCAAAACAAAACCAUCAGUGAAACAGGAAUUUGCCAGAUCAUUCUAAGAAAUCAAUGGACAGGACGACGACAUAAAAUGUUUGGUAAACACAUUUUGAAAACAUUGUUUAUUAGGUUUAACGCCGUGACGUCAUUUGACAGCUCACGUGCAUUGUUUACAUGGUCUUUGUCGGUUACAAGUCCAUGUAAAAGUGCACGCCAUUCUAACCUGCAAUUCUAGUCGGCGUAAAACCUAAUACAUUUACUUAUAUGAUUCCUAAUGUGCCAAAUGUGUCUAAAUCUUUUUCGCAGAACGCAAGACCGGUGGAGCGACGACUGACGAAAAAUAACCAGAGGAUGAAACGAAGAUCUCCAACCUGGAUCUGGACCUGGACGGCAUGCUGGACAAGCCGCCUUGCCGGAUGUGACAAUAUCCCUAACCUUGACCGGGACAGCUGGAUGGGACGAAACUUGCGACCAGCACCAAAAUUCUGAUGGUUUUGAUGUUACGACCUGCCCGGUGCGACCUGGACCUGGACUAGCUCGACGAGAUGACCAUCCCGGACAACCUGUACAAGGACCUGGAUGGCUGGGGGCAUCCAAUCUGGACCUGGACUUAGACGGCGUGCAGGACGUGAUGCCUUGCCGAUGGGUCCACCCGGAGUUUGACCUAGACGGCUAGCUGGUUGGUUUCGAUGUUACGACCUGCCCGGUGCGACCUGGACCUGGACUAGCUCGACGAGAUGACCAUCCCGGACAACCUGUACAAGGACCUGGAUGGCUGGGGGCAUCCAAUCUGGACCUGGACUUAGACGGCGUGCAGGACGUGAUGCCUUGCCGAUGGGUCCACCCGGAGUUUGACCUAGACGGCUAGCUGGUUGGUUUCGAUGUUACGACCUGCCCGGUGCGACCUGGACCUGGACUAGCUCGACGAGAUGACCAUCCCGGACAACCUGUACAAGGACCUGGAUGGCUGGGGGCAUCCAAUCUGGACCUGGACUUGGACGGCGUGCAGGACGUGAUGCCUUGCCGAUGGGUCCACCCGGAGUUUGACCUAGACGGCUAGCUGGUUGGUUUCGAUGUUACGACCUGCCCGGUGCGACCUGGACCUGGACUAGCUCGACGAGAUGACCAUCCCGGACAACCUGUACAAGGACCUGGAUGGCUGGGGGCAUCCAAUCCUGGACCUGGACUUGGACGGCGUGCAGGACGUGACCUGCCCGGUGCGACCUGGACCUGGACUAGCUCGACGAGAUGACCAUCCCGGACAACCUGUACAAGGACCUGGAUGGCUGGGGGCAUCCAAUCUGGACCUGGACUUGGACGGCGUGCAGGACGUGAUGCCUUGCCGAUGGGUCCACCCGGAGUUUGACCUAGACGGCUAGCUGGUUGGUUUCGAUGUUACGACCUGCCCGGUGCGACCUGGACCUGGACUAGCUCGACGAGAUGACCAUCCCGGACAACCUGUACAAGGACCUGGAUGGCUGGGGGCAUCCAAUCUGGACCUGGACUUGGACGGCGUGCAGGACGUGACCUGCCCGGUGCGAACUGGACCUGGACUAGCUCGACGAGAUGACCAUCCCGGACAACCUGUACAAGGACCUGGAUGGCUGGGGGCAUCCAAUCUGGACCUGGACUUGGACGGCGUGCAGGACGUGAUGCCUUGCCGAUGGGUCCACCCGGAGUUUGACCUAGACGGCUAGCUGGUUGGUUUCGAUGUUACGACCUGCCCGGUGCGACCUGGACCUGGACUAGCUCGACGAGAUGACCAUCCCGGACAACCUGUACAAGGACCUGGAUGGCUGGGGGCAUCCAAUCUGGACCUGGACUUGGACGGCGUGCAGGACGUGACCUGCCCGGUGCGACCUGGACCUGGACUAGCUCGACGAGAUGACCAUCCCGGACAACCUGUACAAGGACCUGGAUGGCUGGGGGCAUCCAAUCUGGACCUGGACUUGGACGGCGUGCAGGACGUGAUGCCUUGCCGAUGGGUCCACCCGGAGUUUGACCUAGACGGCUAGCUGGUUGGUUUCGAUGUUACGACCUGCCCGGUGCGACCUGGACCUGGACGGCUGGCUGGACGAUCCGCCAGAUCGUUGAUACGAAGGCACCCAACCUGGACCUGGACGAGCCGCCAGGCCGAUGGGACAAAAUCCCAACCACGACCGGGACGGCUGGCUAGAGGGGCUGGAUGGCCCGAAGACUUGCGGCCAGCGCAAAAAUGCGAUUGGUUUUGAUCAUAAACCUGGUGCGACCUCGACCUGGGCCGACGUUGACUAGCCUGGACGGACGGACUCGGAAAGGCAAGGGUGGGAAGAGCUGUCUGGACCGGUGGAAGGGGGCUUAAAAUAAAGUUUAUGUAAUUUUGAAAUAAAGUUUCACAUUCACGCA